UACGAAGGGGGGCUAGCGUUGCUCGGAAUUACUGGGCGUAAAGCGCACGUAGGCGGCUUUCUAAGUCGGGGGUGAAAUCCUGGAGCUCAACUCCAGAACUGCCUUCGAUACUGGAAAGCUCGAGUCCGGGAGAGGUGAGUGGAACUGCGAGUGUAGAGGUGAAAUUCGUAGAUAUCUGGAGGAACACCGGUGGCGAAGGCGGCAUCCUGGACCAACACUGACACUGAGGAGCGAAAGCCAGGGGAGCAAACGGG
rnacentral:rRNA from 1 species